rnacentral:rRNA from 1 species
UACGUAGGGUGCGAGCGUUGUCCGGAAUUAUUGGGCGUAAAGAGCUUGUAGGCGGUCUGUCGCGUCGGUCGUGAAAACUUGGGGCUUAACCCUGAGCUUGCGGUCGAUACGGGCAUGACUGGAGUUCGGUAGGGGAGACUGGAAUUCCUGGUGUAGCGGUGAAAUGCGCAGAUAUCAGGAGGAACACCGGUGGCGAAGGCGGGUCUCUGGGCCGAUACUGACGCUGAGGCACGAAGGCCAGGGGAGCAAACGGG